CGAAAAUAUUCAUGAUCACGUUGAAGGAAAUUUUUCCAAUAUGUAGAUAAUUGAAUUUGAACGAUAAAUUCAAUUUCUCUCGUUAGAAUUUGUUAUUUCUUUUAAUUUGUACAAACGUUUUGAAAUGGGCCGUGUAUAUUUAUAGCGAAGAUCGAUCAUCGACGUCAUUUCCACUCGAGUCUGACAAAGUGUACGUACGUAUCGUUAAUAAAAUUAUUCAAAUCCUUAGUUUUACCCGGAACAGAAGAAGAAGAAGAAUUAUAUUAUACCGUGUGUACAUAGGAUAACAAUUCGUUUAUCGCUUUAGAACGAAAUUAAUAAAUCCGUUUUUAAAUUGUUCGACGCACGCUCCUGAAAAUGAUUAUGUCUAAAUAUAUAUAUAUAUAUUGAUUAAAAAUGCGUGAAUAGAAUGUCGGUUCGAUUGUAGAGAGACUCGCAAAUGUGUAGAAGUCGGCAAAUACCGAGAAAGACGAUCGUUGUCAAAGAGAAUUCGAUUAAAACUCGACUGCGACUGGAAUAAGAAAAGGAAAAGAGAGAAAAAAAAAGAAGAAAAACCCGACAUCGAUACGGGACGAGUUAACAGGUUGCCGUAUAUCAUUCUGUUUUCCUAACGAAUCAUACUUUCCAUGAUUUAUGGAUGAAGGAAACGUUCUGUAUCACGCAAAGUCAAACGAGCGCGUUAAAUAAUUCAACAACGUUCCAUGUAUGCUACAUUCUUAACGAGUGUAUGAAGAACGUAAACGUUGUCUCGAUAGAAAUGU